GAUGAACGCUGGCGGCGCGCCUAAUACAUGCAAGUCGAGCGAACAGACGAGGAGCUUGCUCCUCUGACGUUAGCGGCGGACGGGUGAGUAACACGUGGAUAACCUACCUCUAAGACUGGGCUAACUUCGGGAAACAGGAGCUAAUACCGGAUAAUAUAUUGAACCGCAUGGUUCAAUAGUGAAAGACGGUUUUGCUGUCCCUUAUAGAUGGAUCCGCGCCGCAUUAGCUCGUUGGUAAGGUAACGGCUUACCAAGGCGACGAUGCGUAGCCGACCUGAGAGGGUGAUCGGCCACACUGGAACGGAGACACGGGCCAGACUCCUACGGGAGGCAGCAGUAGGGAAUCUACCGCAAGGGGCGAAAGCGUGACGGAGGAAAGCGGCGGGAGUGAUGAAGGUCUUCGGAUCGUAAAACUCUGUUAUUAGGGAAGAACAAAUGUGUAAGUAACUAUGCACGUCUUGACGGUACCUAAUCAGAAAGCCACGGCUAACUACGUG
rnacentral:rRNA from 1 species